UGGGGAAUUUUGGACAAUGGGCGAAAGCCUGAUCCAGCCAUGCCGCGUGAGUGAAGAAGGCCUUCGGGUUGUAAAGCUCUUUUAGUCGGAAAGAAGGAGUUGCAAUGAAUAAUUGUGAUUUAUGACGGUACCAGAGGAAUAAGCACCGGCUAACUCCGUGCCAGCAGCCGCGGUAAUACGGAGGGUGCGAGCGUUAUCCGGAUUUACUGGGUUUAAAGGGUGCGUAGGUGGGCUUAUAAGUCAGUGGUGAAAUCUCCGAGCUUAACUUGGAAGCUGCCGUUGNUACUAUAGGUCUUGAAUUAUCUGGAGGUAAGCGGAAUAUGUCAUGUAGCGGUGAAAUGCUUAGAUAUGACAUAGAACACCAAUUGCGAAGGCAGCUUACUACAUAUAAAUUGACGCUGAGGCACGAAAGCGUGGGGAUCAAACA
rnacentral:rRNA from 1 species